GCUAAGUAGCCGGAGUAAGUGACGGUGAAUCGAAUCGCCAUAAGUACAAAUUGUAAUAAACCGAGAAAGAUGUAGAGAAUUGUAGGUUCGGUAAUUAACGGGGAGAGUUGUACAAGAAUCGAAUCGCCAUAAGUAUAAAUUGUAAUAAACCGAGAAAGAUGUAGAGAAUUUUAGGUUCGGUAAUUAACGGGGAGAGUUGUACAAAACCUAACAGAAGCGAAGAAAUGCCAUCGGGAUUGAACAAACCAGUGGAUCGGUGAAGAAAUUGGUGAAUUGAAAAGUUCGGUCAACGGUAUUAGGGAAAAAUUGAUUGGCUAUUUGGAAGAACUGUGUCGAAAUUAGGGUUGUUUUCCAAAAGGGGGUUUAUGAACGGGAUAGGAAAGGGAUUUAGCUCUCGACGACGACUACAGCUGCCGGCGAGAGAUCGCCGGGAAAAAUAGGAGAAUUGUGAGACGCCAGGAAAGUGAGAAGAUUGACGAUUUUGUGAAGGGUUUUGGACAUUUGGGUCCUAAU
rnacentral:lncRNA from 1 species